GAUUCAUUGUCAAAAAAGAAAACCAAACAAACAUCUACUUCAGUACAGAUUCAGAAAGGCAAAGGAACCUGCUCAGGAUCUCACUGGAAGCUAAAGUCAGAAAAAUAGCUAGAGCCCAGGCAAAGAGAAAAAAUACCUGCAGUCUUUCCGUCCACUAAAUAUGUUGUUGCCAUUGCUUGUAACAGGCACAGCUUUGCACUAAGCAAGCAGUAUGGGCCUCCUAGGGUUUGUCUGAACUUGUUUUGACCCAGCUGGAAAUUUGCUUCAGCUUGUUACAGCAUUUACCUAAUGACCAUGGGACUGUUACCUCCUUGGUUUUAGCUGUCGCUUAGCUUGGAACAACUCUGUGGUGUAACACCAG
rnacentral:lncRNA from 1 species